rfam:Salmo salar isolate Sally breed double haploid chromosome ssa26, whole genome shotgun sequence.
GUCGGAUAUGGAGACAUGAAACCAAUAACUGUCGGUGGGAAGAUAGUUGGCUCGCUCUGUGCCAUAGCGGGUGUGUUAACCAUAGCUCUUCCAGUGCCCGUCAUUGUAUCCAAC